CCUGCAGCCCUCACCUACCACUACGAGACCCAGUGCCUGCCCACACCCGCCGCCUGGUUCGCACACCACCUGCCGGUCUGGCUGCACAAGCUCAGCGUGGUGGCCACGUUCCUAAUUGAGAUCGCUGUGCCGCCCCUGUUCUUCGCCCCCAUUCGACGCCUGCGCUUGGCUGCCUUCUACUCGCAGGUGCUGCUGCAGGUCCUGAUUAUCAUCACCGGCAACUACAACUUCUUCAACCUGAUGACGCUGGUGCUUACCACUGCGCUGCUGGACGACCAGCACCUGGCUGCUGAGCCUGGCCACGGCAGCCGCAAGAAGACGGCCACUUCCUGGCCCAAGGCCCUGCUGGCCACCCUGUCGCUGCUGCUGGAACUAGCCGUCUACGGGCUUCUGGCCUAUGGCACUGUGCACUACUUUGGCCUGGAGGUUGACUGGCAGCAGCGCACCAUUCACUCCAGAACCAGUGAGUGCCGACCUGGGGGGGCCAGUGGGCAGGGGCGGACCAGUCCUCACACCCCCCUCCUCCACCAGCUUUCACCUUCCACCAGUUUUCUCAGUGGCUGAAGACACUGACGCUGCCCACUGUGUGGCUGGGUGUGGCCUCCCUGGUCUGGGAGCUGCUGAGUGCCCUGUGGAGGUACAUGGCCCAGGAAGCAGGGAGGGGGCACAGGUGUGCAGGGUCAGCCUGACGACCUUGGGUCCUUGCCCACAGGUGGACCCAGGUGCGGGGCUGGCUACGGAAGCUCAGUGCUGUAGUCCAACUGUCCCUUGUGGGCACUGCGACCGUGGCCUUGUUCCUGAUUAGCCUGGUGGGUAGCGCUGCAGGGCUGGGGGAUGGGCUGGGGGCAGGGCAGCCCUGAGAACCUCCCACCUGUCUCCAGGUGCCGUACUCCUACGUGGAGCCCGGGACCCACGGGCGCCUCUGGACCGGGGCCCACCGCUUGUUUGGCGCCGUGGAGCACCUACAGCUGGCCAACUCCUACGGCCUCUUCCGCCGCAUGACCGGGCUUGGUGGACGGCCUGAGGUGGUGC
rnacentral:sRNA from 1 species